rnacentral:tRNA from 1 species
AAGGGAGACCUAAUUCAGGUAGGAGACGAAAAAAAGUAGUCCCUACCAAGAAUCAAUCCCAAAGGGUCGGAGCGAGGCAAAAUUGGCUUUCAAACUAGGUUCUGGGUUCACAUAAGACCUGAAUCAGGAACAAGGGCUAUUAGCUCAGGUGGUUAGAGCGCACCCCUGAUAAGGGUGAGGUCCCUGGUUCGAGUCCAGGAUGGCCCACCUGCACAGGUGGCAAAAACAAAGAAAAGAAGCUCCGAAUCAGCACCUUAUCUUACUCAUAUAGUAAGUAAGAGAGAAUGCUGGCUCUGAGUUCAGAGUCCAGAGGAACCUUGAAAACUGCAUAGAGCUAGGUGAAAAAGCCAAAAAAGAAGACCGCAA